rnacentral:rRNA from 1 species
UGGGGAAUAUUGGACAAUGGGCGCAAGCCUGAUCCAGCCAUGCCGCGUGAGUGAAGAAGGCCUUAGGGUUGUAAAGCUCUUUCAGUCGUGACGAUGAUGACGGUACCAGUAAAGGAAGCACCGGCUAACUCUGUGCCAGCAGCCGCGGUAAUACAGAGGGUGCAAACGUUGUUCGGAAUUACUGGGCGUAAAGCGCGUGUAGGCGGUUCGUUAAGUCGACUGUGAAAGCCCAUGGCUCAACCAUGGAAGUGCAGUCGAUACUGGCAGACUGGAGUCCCGGAGAGGGUGGUGGAAUUCCCAGUGUAGAGGUGAAAUUCGUAGAUAUUGGGAGGAACACCGGUGGCGAAGGCGACCACCUGGACGGGUACUGACGCUGAGACGCGAAAGCGUGGGGAGCAAACAGGAUUAGAUACCCCCGUAGUCC